UAGGGAAUCUUCGGCAAUGGACGGAAGUCUGACCGAGCAACGACGCGUGAGUGAAGAAGGUUUUCGGAGCGUAAAGCUCUGUUGUUAGAGAAGAACGUUGGUAGGAGUGGAAAAUCGACCAAGUGACGGUAACUAACCAGAAAGGGACGGCUAACUAAGUGCCAGCAGCCGCGGUAAUACGUAGGUCCCGAGCGUUGUCCGGAUUGAUUGGGCGUAAAGCGAGCGCAGGCGGUUCUUUAAGUCUGAAGUUAAAGGCAGUGGCUUAACCAUUGUACGCUUUUGCAACUCGAGGACUUGCGUGCAGAAGUGGAGCUUUGACUUCCAUCUGUCGCUGUGACAUGCGUAGAUAUAUGGACGAACCCCGGUGGCGAAAGCGGCUCUCUCGUCUGUAACUGCCGCUGAGGCUCGCAAGCGUAGGGAGCAAACAGG
rnacentral:rRNA from 1 species